UGAGCCAGCGUCUAUCACAACGUUUUCUGU
rnacentral:piRNA from 1 species